GCCAGCAUGAUGUAGUUGUUUAGCAUUGGACUAUGACUCUGGAGAUCAGGGUUCAAUUCCCUAAGUAGGCC